rnacentral:lncRNA from 1 species
GGAUGGAACCUGCACUCCUUGCUUCUCCUUCAGAGUAGAGCUGUGAGCUCUCACAAUGGUGGGCUCCAUCCAUACAGAGAGAGGACCAUCUUCCCGGCAGGAGGCAGGAGCAGCUGCAUCUGAAUGUAUGUCAGGCACCUAGUGUGCAUCCGCUCGGGACGGAGAGAAAGAAGAAAACCAGAUUUCUACUCCGUUCCCAAGCAUGCUGAUUUUGUGAGAUAGGUUUCCCACUUGAGUCUCAAGGUUUUGCCCCUUUAAAUAGAAGAAUGGGAGCUGGGGACAGGGCUUGGGAGGUAAGAGUGCUGCUCUUGCAAAGGGACCCAAAUGUGGUUCCCAGCACCCAUGACAGGUAACUCACAACUGACUGUAACUCCUACUUCAGGGGAUUCCAUCCCCUCUUCUGGCUUCUGCAGUCCCAUGCACAUACAUGCACGCAGACACACACACAGACACACACACACUGGCAAGCACAUGUAUAAAAAAUAAUGACUCUUAAAUAAAUACAAAAAUAACCAGUCAAGGUUUAUGGAUUGGUGCUAAUAACCAUUAAGUGAAUUUCUGGUGACAGAAAUGUGUGCUCAGUGCCAAAGUAACCCACAUCAUUGCUUUCUAGGAGGUAAGGCUAAGACUGCAGCCACCAUGCUGUCUGCCUAAGCAUGUCUUGAGCGAGAGAAUAAGGUACCGCCUGCCUUCUGCUAUGACGCAACGUGAUGUAUCAGCAUUGCUUCGCAUGUGUUCCAAAGGUUUACUUUGAAUUGCUUCAGCCUUCAGAUCACAGUUCUAAUUUGAAAAUGCUGGGGGGAGUGACAUGUGAAUAAUAGCACAAAGAAAUAACUAGAUAGCUAAGAGAAGGGAUGUGUAUAGGAAGGCUGAUAUGGAUAUCCUAAUGGAUCAAUAGCCAAAAAAGAAAAAAAAAUGGACUCCAUCACCAUGCUAAGCAAGGAUUAUCAGGUGCGGUCUCCAUACUGGACUCUGGCAACCCAAGAGAAAGGAUUGGGAGGGUGGUCAGUUGGAGAAACAUGUAUAUAGGGUAUGCAUUAAAAGAGAAGAUAUUUACUGAAAUGAAGGAGGUGGAAAUUGUGGGACA